rfam:Rattus norvegicus chromosome 10, whole genome shotgun sequence.
GGGGAUUUGGCUCAGUGGUAGAGCGCUUGCCUAGGAAGCGCAAGGUCCUGGGUUCAAUCCCAGCCCCG